UCGCUUGUCGUAAGGCAAGAGGAAAGUCCGGGCAACACAGAGCAUCAUAUUUCUUAACGAGAAGCUAUCUGUGAGGGUAGAGUAGCGUGACAGAAAAUAACCGCCAUUUUAUGGUAAGGGUGAAAAGGUGGGGUAAGAGCCUACCGGGUGUAAUGGCAACAUUAUGCGCCGCACGCCUUAUGAGUUGCAAGGUCAAGUAUACCGGCAUUUAAGGGCUGCUCGUCCACUGUCGGGGGGUAGACUGCUCAAGCCUUAUGGUGACAUAAGGAUUAGAUAAAUGACAAGACGCAAUUCUUAUUGCGACAUAACCCGGCUUAUAGCCACACUG
rnacentral:RNase_P_RNA from 1 species